ACCGCCUGAUGUGCAAAGAUGUUUAUAAGCAGAAAAAACUAAAAGCAAGUCAAAUGUCCCAAUAACAUGGCAGGUGUGAGUCACAGCACCGCGUCGCCGAGGACAGAGCUGACCCACCCACGGCACGAGCAGGAGUCGCUGCAAAUGGCAAAGGUGUGUGCCACAAAGCACCAGAGGCCCCCAGGCCCCUGCGGCCUGGCCUGGGACGGCCUCGCUUCGCAGUCCCAGAGAGGCAGGGCCCGGACCUCACCCUGACCUCCGCCUGCCGCCAUGCUCUGUUCCUGCCACCCUGAAUGCCCCCUCCCAGGCAUCCCUGACCAGCACAGCUCACCCCAGGGGAGCCCGACACCCUCCACCAUCUGCUGCCUGGCACACGACAUGAGCCAUGGGCACUGAGGUUACCGCACUGUCCACAGCUCCAGAGCUUCCCAGAGCCAACCCCAGGCCUGCCCCGUGCUUGCCCAGUGAUCAGGCAUGGGGAAGCCACAGGGAGGCAGAGGGCAAACAUCGGGAGCUGUGUUCCCACCACAGAUCCACACUGUCGGCUGAGCGCACCCUCACCAGGAAAGCUGGGCCCACCGUGGGAUUUCCUGGGGCCUCCAUGACAAAGGGCCACAAACUGGGGGCUUAGAGCAACAGCUCGGAGGCCGGAAGUCCAAAACCAAGCUGUCCGCAGGGCCACUCUCCCUCUGGA